UUAGAGUUUUGAACCUGGCUCAGAUUGAACGCUGGCGGCAGGCUUAACACAUGCAAGUCGAGCGGGGAAAGGUAGCUUGGUACCUGACCUAGCGGCGGACGGGUGAGUAAUGCUUAGGAAUCUGCCUAUUAGUGGGGGACAACAUUCCGAAAGGAAUGCUAAUACCGCAUACGCCCUACGGGGGAAAGCAGGGGAUCUUCGGACCUUGCGCUAAUAGAUGAGCCUAAGUCAGAUUAGCUAGUUGGUGGGGUAAAGGCCUACCAAGGCGACGAUCUGUAGCGGGUCUGAGAGGAUGAUCCGCCACACUGGGACUGAGACACGGCCCAGACUCCUACGGGAGGCAGCAGUGGGGAAUAUUGGACAAUGGGCGCAAGCCUGAUCCAGCCAUGCCGCGUGUGUGAAGAAGGCCUUUUGGUUGUAAAGCACUUUAAGCGAGGAGGAGGCUACUUGGAUUAAUACUCUAGGAUAGUGGACGUUACUCGCAGAAUAAGCACCGGCUACUC
rnacentral:rRNA from 1 species